rfam:Gorilla gorilla gorilla genomic chromosome, chr11, whole genome shotgun sequence
GCCAGGCAUGGUGGCUCAUGCCUGUAAUCCCAGCACUUUGGGAGGCCGAGGCAGGUGGAUCACCUGAGGUCAGGAGUUUGAGACCAGCCUGGCCAACAUGGUGAAACCCUGUCUCUA